UACGUAGGGGGCGAGCGUUGUCCGGAUUUAUUGGGCGUAAAGAGCUCGUAGGUGGUUUGGUAAGUCGGAUGUGAAAUCUCCAGGCUCAACCUGGAGGGGUCAUUCGAUACUGCCAUGACUAGAGGUCGGUAGGGGAGUGUGGAAUUCCUGGUGGAGCGGUGAAAUGCGCAGAUAUCAGGAGGAACACCCGUAGCGAAGGCGGCACUCUGGGCCGAUUCUGACACUGAGGAGCGAAAGCGUGGGGAGCGAACAGG
rnacentral:rRNA from 1 species